ACGGGUGAGUAACACGUGGAUAACCUACCUAUAAGACUGAGAUAACUUCGGGAAACCGGAGCUAAUACCGGAUAAUAUAUUGAACCGCAUGGUUCAAUAGUGAAAGACGGUUUUGCUGUCACUUAUAGAUGGAUCCGCGCCGCAUUAGCUAGUUGGUAAGGUAACGGCUUACCAAGGCAACGAUGCGUAGCCGACCUGAGAGGGUGAUCGGCCACACUGGAACUGAGACACGGUCCAGACUCCUACGGGAGGCAGCAGUAGGGAAUCUUCCGCAAUGGGCGAAAGCCUGACGGAGCAACGCCGCGUGAGUGAUGAAGGCCUUCGGAUCGUAAAACUCUGUUAUUAGGGAAGAACAAAUGUGUAAGUAACUAUGCACGUCUUGACGGUACCUAAUCAGAAAGCCACGGCUAACCACGUGCCAGCAGCCGCGGUAAUACGUAGGUGGCAAGCGUUAUCCGGAAUUAUUGGGCGUAAAGCGCGCGUAGGCGGUUUUUUAAGUCUGAUGUGAAAGCCCACGGCUCAACCGUGGAGGGUCAUUGGAAACUGGAAAACUUGAGUGCAGAAGAGGAAAGUGGAAUUC
rnacentral:rRNA from 1 species